rnacentral:tRNA from 1 species
GCCUGGCUGGCUCAGUCAGUAGAGCAUGUGACUCUUUAUCUUGGGGUCGUGAGUUCAAGCCCCAUGUUGGGCA